rnacentral:rRNA from 1 species
CAGUCGCCACGGGAAUACGAAGGGGGCUAGCGUUACUCGGAAUCACUGGGCGUAAAGCGUGCGUAGGCGGUUUGUUAAGUCUGUCGUGAAAGCCCUGGGCUUAACCUGGGAAUUGCGAUGGAUACUGGCAAGCUAGAGUACGGUAGAGGAUGGUGGAAUUCCCGGUGUAGCGGUGAAAUGCGUAGAGAUCGGGAGGAACACCCGUGGCGAAGGCGGCCAUCUGGACCAGUACUGACGCUGAGGCACGAAAGCGUGGGGAGCAAACAGGAUUAGAUACCCCCGUAGUCCCUGUCUCUUAUAC